rnacentral:rRNA from 1 species
UACGGAGGGGGCUAGCGUUGUUCGGAAUUACUGGGCGUAAAGCGCACGUAGGCGGCUUUGUAAGUUAGAGGUGAAAGCCCGGGGCUCAACUCCGGAAUUGCCUUUAAGACUGCAUCGCUAGAAUUGUGGAGAGGUAAGUGGAAUUCCGAGUGUAGAGGUGAAAUUCGUAGAUAUUCGGAAGAACACCAGUGGCGAAGGCGACUUACUGGACACAUAUCGACGCUGAGGUGCGAAGCGUGGGGAGCAAACAGG